AUCCGGCUGAUGAGUCCCAAACGGAAUAAAACGUGCGUCCUGUAU
rnacentral:hammerhead_ribozyme from 1 species